rnacentral:rRNA from 1 species
AACGAACGCUGGCGGCAUGCCUAACACAUGCAAGUCGAACGAGAUCUUCGGGUCUAGUGGCGCACGGGUGCGUAACGCGUGGGAAUCUGCCCUUUGGUUCGGAAUAACAGUUGGAAACGACUGCUAAUACCGGAUGAUGACGAAAGUCCAAAGAUUUAUCGCCAGAGGAUGAGCCCGCGUAGGAUUAGCUAGUUGGUGUGGUAAAGGCGCACCAAGGCGACGAUCCUUAGCUGGUCUGAGAGGACGAUCAGCCACACUGGGACUGAGACACGGCCCAGACUGCUACGGGAGGGAGCAGUGGGGAAUAUUGGACAAUGGGCGAAAGCCUGAUCCAGCAAUGCCGCGUGAGUGAUGAAGGCCUUAGGGUUGUAAAGCUCUUUUACCCGGGAUGAUAAUGACAGUACCGGGAGAAUAAGCUCCGGCUAACUCCGUGCCAGCCGCCGCGGUAA